AAUAGAUACCCAGGUAGUCCACGCCGUAAACGUUGGGCGCUAGAUGUGGGGGCCAUUCCACGGUUUCCGCGUCGUAGCUAACGCAUUAAGCGCCCCGCCUGGGGAGUACGGCCGCAAGGCUAAAACUCAAAGGAAUUGACGGGGGCCCGCACAAGCGGCGGAGCAUGCGGAUUAAUUCGAUGCAACGCGAAGAACCUUACCAAGGCUUGACAUAUACGAGAACACUGCAGAAAUGUAGGACUCUUUGGACACUCGUAUACAGGUGGUGCAUGGUUGUCGUCAGCUCGUGUCGUGAGAUGUUGGGUUAAGUCCCGCAACGAGCGCAACCCUCGUCGCAUGUUGCCAGCACGUAAAGGUGGGAACUCAUGUGAGACUGCCGGGGUCAACUCGGAGGAAGGUGGGGAUGACGUCAAAUCAUCAUGCCCCUUAUGUCUUGGGCUUCACGCAUGCUACAAUGGCCGGUACAAAGGGCUGCAAUCCGUAAGGUGGAGCGAAUCCCAAAAAGCCGGUCUCAGUUCGGA
rnacentral:rRNA from 1 species